rnacentral:tRNA from 1 species
AACUAACAAGAGCUUUAAGCAGGCCUUCCUUCCAAGAAGACCGAUAAUUUGUUAUUGA